rnacentral:rRNA from 1 species
GAUGAACGCUGGCGGCGUGCCUAAUACAUGCAAGUAGAACGCUGAAGGAGGAGCUUGCUCUUCUGGAUGAGUUGCGAACGGGUGAGUAACGCGUAGGUAACCUGCCUUGUAGCGGGGGAUAACUAUUGGAAACGAUAGCUAAUACCGCAUGACAACAGUUAUUGCAUGAUAACUGUUUAAAAGUGGCAACUGCUCCACUACCAGAUGGACCUGCGUUGUAUUAGCUAGUUGGUGAGGUAACGGCUCACCAAGGCGACGAUACAUAGCCGACCUGAGAGGGUGAUCGGCCACACUGGGACUGAGACACGGCCCAGAAUCCUACGGGAGGCAGCAGUAGGGAAUCUUCGGCAAUGGACGGAAGUCUGACCGAGCAACGCCGCGUGAGUGAAGAAGGUUUUCGGAUCGUAAAGCUCUGUUGUAAGAGAAGAACGAGUGUGAGAGUGGAAAGUUCACACUGUGACGGUAUCUUACCAGAAAGGGACGGCUAACUACGUG